AUUGAACGCUGGCGGCAUGCUUUACACAUGCAAGUCGAACGGACUUAGGGGCUUGCUCCUAGGUUAGUGGCGAACGGGUGAGUAAUGCAUCGGAACGUACCGUGUAGUGGGGGAUAACGCAGCGAAAGUUGUGCUAAUACCGCAUACGAUCUACGGAUGAAAGCAGGGGAUCGCAAGACCUUGUGCUAUACGAGCGGCCGAUGUCGGAUUAGCUAGUUGGUGAGGUAAAGGCUCACCAAGGCGACGAUCCGUAGCGGGUCUGAGAGGAUGAUCCGCCACACUGGGACUGAGACACGGCCCAGACUCCUACGGGAGGCAGCAGUAGGGAAUAUUGGACAAUGGGGGCAACCCUGAUCCAGCCAUGCCGCGUGAGUGAAGAAGGCCCUCGGGUUGUAAAGCUCUUUUGUCCGGAAAGAAAGCAAUCGGUUAAUACCCGGUUGUCCUGACGGUACCGGAAGAAUAGCACCGGCUAACUUCGUGCCAGCAGCCGCGGUAAGGU
rnacentral:rRNA from 1 species